rnacentral:rRNA from 17 species
AAAUUGAAGAGUUUGAUCAUGGCUCAGAUUGAACGCUGGCGGCAGGCCUAACACAUGCAAGUCGAACGGUAGCACAGAGAGCUUGCUCUCGGGUGACGAGUGGCGGACGGGUGAGUAAUGUCUGGGAAACUGCCUGAUGGAGGGGGAUAACUACUGGAAACGGUGGCUAAUACCGCAUAA